rnacentral:rRNA from 1 species
GAAAUAACGUCCAGUUCGGAUUGUAGUCNGCAACCCGACUACAUGAAGCUGGAAUCGCUAGUAAUCGCGAAUCAGAAUGUCGCGGUGAAUACGUUCCCGGGUCUUGUACACACCGCCCGUCACACCAUGGGAGUCGGAAAUGCCCGAAGUCAGUGACCCAACCGUAAGGAGGGAGCUGCCGAAGGUGGAGCCGGUAACUGGGGUGAAGUCGUAACAAGGUACC